rnacentral:rRNA from 1 species
CCUACGGGCGGCUGCAGUGGGGAAUAUUGGACAAUGGGGGCAACCCUGAUCCAGCCAUGCCGCGUGUGUGAAGAAGGCCCUCGGGUUGUAAAGCACUUUCAGUGAGGAAGAACGCCUGGUGGUUAAUACCCAUCAGGAAAGACAUCACUCACAGAAGAAGCACCGGCUAACUCCGUGCCAGCAGCCGCGGUAAUACGGAGGGUGCGAGCGUUAAUCGGAAUUACUGGGCGUAAAGCGCGCGUAGGUGGCUUGAUAAGCCGGUUGUGAAAGCCCCGGGCUCAACCUGGGAACGGCAUCCGGAACUGUGCAGCUAGAGUGCAGGAGAGGAAGGUAGAAUUCCCGGUGUAGCGGUGAAAUGCGUAGAGAUCGGGAGGAAUACCAGUGGCGAAGGCGGCCUUCUGGACUGACACUGACACUGAGGUGCGAAAGCGUGGGUAGCAAACAGGAUUAGAUACCCCAGUAGUC